rnacentral:rRNA from 1 species
AUGGCUCAGGAUGAACGCUGGCGGCGUGCCUAACACAUGCAAGUCGAACGGAAACUAAGCGCUCGGGGACUUCGGUCAAUGUUGCUGGUUUAGUGGCGGACGGGUGAGUAACGCGUGGAUAACCUGCCUCAUACAGGGGGAUAACAGUUAGAAAUGACUGCUAAUACCGCAUAAGCGCACAGUUUCGCAUGGAACAGUGUGAAAAACUCCGGUGGUAUGAGAUGGAUCCGCGUCUGAUUAGCUAGUUGGCGGGGUAACAGCCCACCAAGGCGACGAUCAGUAGCCGGCCUGAGAGGGUGAACGGCCACAUUGGGACUGAGACACGGCCCAAACUCCUACGGGAGGCAGCAGUGGGGGAUAUUGCACAAUGGGGGAAACCCUGAUGCAGCCGACGCCGCGUGAGUGAAGAAGUAUUUCGGUAUGUAAAGCUCUAUCAGCAGGGAAGAUAAUGACGGUACCUGACUAGGAAGCACCGGCUAAAUACGUGCCAGCCGCCGC